rnacentral:rRNA from 1 species
UGCAGUCGAGCGGACUGGCCUGCAGCUUGCUGCUGGUACUCGAGCGGCGAACGGGUGAGUAACACGUGGGUGAUCUGCCCGCAACUUUGGGAUAACCCUGGGAAACUGGGUCUAAUACCGGAUAUGACCUUUCUUUUCUGGGGAAAGGGUUGAGCUUUUGCUUCUGGGGAUGAGCUCGCGGCCUAUCAGCUUGCAGGUGGGGUAAUGGCCUACCAAGGCUCCCACGGGUACCCGGCCUGAGAGGGCGGAGAGGCACAUUGGGACUGAUAUACGUGCCACACUCCUACGACAGGCACGGGUGGGGAAUAUUGCGAAUCUUCCGCAAUGCUGAAGCAUCGACCCCGCGUGCGGCAUGAGAGCCUUCGGGUUUUUCACUCCUUUCAACUGUGACGAAGCUUUUUGAGACGGACCCUGUAUAAUAAUCACCCCUUAACUACACGCCACCAGACGCCCACGUACAUAUGGUGCCAGCGUUGCCCGGAAUUACUGGGGGGAAAGAGCUCAUACGUGAUUAUUGGCGUCAUCUGUGAAAUUCCGGGUUUCUUCUCCGGGCGUGCAGGCCAUACGGGCUGACUUGAGUGCUGUUUGGAAGACUGGAAUUCCUGAGUGUAGAGGAGAAAUGCGCAGAUCUCCGGAGGAACACCAAUGGCGAAGACAUGUCUCUGAACACCUACUGACACUGAGGAUUCUUGGUCUGUAUAUGACACUGGAUUGCAUA